UACGGAGGGGGCUAGCGUUGUUCGGAAUUACUGGGCGUAAAGCGCACGUGGGCGGCUUUGCAAGUUAGAGGUGAAAGCCCAGGGCUUAACCCUGGAAUUGCCUUUAAAACUGCAUCGCUAGAAUUGUGGAGAGGUAAGUGGAAUUCCGAGUGUAGAGGUGAAAUUCGUAGAUAUUCGGAAGAACACCAGUGGCGAAGGCGACUUACUGGACACAUAUUGACGCUGAGGUGCGAAAGCGUGGGGAGCAAACAGG
rnacentral:rRNA from 1 species